CAUGCAAGUCGAACGAAGUAGCAAUACUUAGUGGCAGACGGGUGAGUAACAUGUAGGUAUCUGCCCUUUGGCCUGGAAUAACAUGAGGAAACUUAUGCUAAUACCGGAUAAGUCUUUACGGAGAAAGCUUUAUGCACCAUUGGAUGAGCCUGCACUUGAUUAGUUUGUUGGUGGGGUAAUGGCCUACCAAGACUGUGAUCAAUAGCUGAUUUGAGAGGAUGAUCAGCCACAUUGGGACUGAGACACGGCCCAAACUCCUACGGGAGGCAGCAGUGGGGAAUCUUGCACAAUGGAGGAAACUCUGAUGCAGCGAUGCCGCGUGAGUGAAGAAGGCCCUUGGGUUGUAAAGCUCUUUCGUCGGGGAAGAAAAUGACUGUACCCGAAUAAGAAGGUCCGGCUAACUUCGUGCCAGCAGCCGCGGUAAUACGAAGGGACCUAGCGUAGUUCGGAAUUACUGGGCUUAAAGAGUUCGUAGGUGGUUGAAAAAGUUGGUGGUGAAAUCCCAGAGCUUAACUCUGGAACUGCCAUCAAAACUUUUCAGCUAGAGUUUGAUAGAGGAAAGCAGAAUUUCUAGUGUAGAGGUGAAAUUCGUAGAUAUUA
rnacentral:rRNA from 1 species